GCAGGGUCAGCUAUUUAUACGGCGCUCUGCCAUUGCACUGUGGCUGUACUGACCGCUGCGAAUUCCCCACAUGUGGGAAUCUCGACUGC
rnacentral:snRNA from 1 species